rnacentral:rRNA from 1 species
GGGGAAUAUUGGACAAUGGGCGCAAGCCUGAUCCAGCCAUGCCGCGUGAGUGAUGAAGGCCCUAGGGUUGUAAAGCUCUUUUAUCCGGGAAGAUAAUGACUGUACCGGAAGAAUAAGCCCCGGCUAACUUCGUGCCAGCAGCCGCGGUAAUACGAAGGGGGCUAGCGUUGCUCGGAAUCACUGGGCGUAAAGAGCGCGUAGGCGGACUGUUAAGUCGGGGGUGAAAGCCCGGAGCUCAACUCCGGAAUUGCCCUCGAUACUGACAGUCUUGAGACCGGAAGAGGUAAGUGGAAUUGCGAGUGUAGAGGUGAAAUUCGUAGAUAUUCGCAAGAACACCAGUGGCGAAGGCGGCUUACUGGUCCGGUUCUGACGCUGAGGCGCGAAAGCGUGGGGAGCAAAC